UACGUAGGGGGCUAGCGUUGUCCGGAAUCAUUGGGCGUAAAGAGCGCGUAGGCGGCCAGAUAAGUCCGGUGUGAAAGUCAAAGGCUCAACCUUUGAAUGCCGCUGGAAACUGUCUGGCUAGAGUCAGGUAGGGGAGAACGGAAUUCCUGGUGUAGCGGUGAAAUGCGCAGAUAUCAGGAGGAACACCGGUGGCGAAGGCGGAGACCUGGGCCAAUACUGACGCUGAGGUGCGAAAGCGUGGGGAGCAAACAGG
rnacentral:rRNA from 1 species